GCCGCCGCCAUGCUGCGCUGCGUGCUGUGCCUGUGGGCGCUGCGUCUUGCGGGCGGCUCCGCUGCCGCCGCCGGCGCCUCCCGCCGCCUUGACGUGGCGGCCUACAGGGAGCGGGUGCGCGCCAUGUUCUACCACGCCUACGAGCACUACCUGGAGAGCGCCUUCCCCUACGACGAGCUGCGGCCGCUCACCUGCGACGGGCAGGACACCUGGGGCAGCUUUUCCCUCACGCUGAUCGACGCCCUGGACACUCUGCUGAUCUUGGGAAACGUUUCUGAGUUCCAGAGAGUUGUCAAUGUGCUGCAGGAAGGGGUGGAUUUUGAUAUUGAUGUCAAUGCAUCUGUCUUCGAAACUAACAUUCGAGUGGUGGGUGGUCUCCUCUCCGCUCACUUGCUAUCAAAGAAGGCUGGUGUUGAAGUAGAAGUGGGAUGGCCGUGCUCUGGACCUCUCUUGAGGAUGGCGGAGGAAGCAGCUCGCAAACUUCUGCCUGCUUUUCAGACUCCAACUGGGAUGCCUUAUGGAACAGUGAACUUGCUGCAUGGAGUAAACCCUGGUGAGACCCCAGUUACCUGUACUGCUGGAAUAGGUACAUUUAUAGUGGAAUUUGCCACUUUAAGCCACCUUACUGGUGAUCCAGUGUUCGAGGAUGUUGCCAGGAAGGCCCUGAAGGCACUAUGGAAAAAUCGCUCAGAUAUUGGACUGGUUGGUAACCACAUUGAUGUGAUAACUGCCAAAUGGGUAGCUCAAGAUGCUGGCAUUGGGGCUGGGGUGGACUCCUACUUUGAAUACCUUGUUAAAGGAGCCAUUCUCCUGCAGGACAAGGAGCUGAUGUCCAUGUUCCUAGAAUAUAACAAAGCUAUUAAAAAUUACACAAAGUUUGAUGACUGGUACCUCUGGGUUCAGAUGUACAAAGGAACAGUGUCCAUGCCUGUUUUUCAGUCUCUGGAGGCCUACUGGCCAGGCCUACAGAGCCUAAUUGGAGAUGUAGAUAAUGCCAUGCGAACCUUCCUCAACUAUUACACUGUUUGGAAGCAGUUUGGUGGACUGCCUGAGUUCUACAACAUUCCUCAGGGCUAUACAGUGGAGAAGAGAGAAGGGUAUCCGCUCAGGCCUGAGCUGAUUGAGAGUGCGAUGUAUCUGUACCGUGCAACCCGAGACCCCAUCCUCUUAGAAUUGGGAAGAGAUGCAGUGGAGUCUAUUGAGAAAAUCAGCAAGGUGGACUGUGGAUUUGCAACAAUCAAAGACUUGAGAGACCACAGACUGGAUAAUCGCAUGGAAUCCUUCUUUUUGGCUGAAACAGUGAAAUACUUGUAUCUGCUAUUUGACCCAGACAACUUCAUUCACAAUGAUGGGUCAGUCUUUGAUGUGGUGCUUACUCCAUAUGGGGAAUGCAUCUUGAAUGCUGGAGGAUACAUCUUUAACACUGAAGCUCAUCCUAUAGACCCUGCUGCACUACAUUGCUGUAGGAAGCGGAAGGAAGAGCAGUGGGAGGUAGAAGACUUGAUGCGAGAAUUCUACUCAUUGAAGAGAAACAAGAAAUUAACUUUAAAAAGAUCUUCAGACCAUAAAGAAGGGGAAAGUGUGCAAGACUCUGUAGAUGCCUCUUCAGAGAGUGGCAGAGAGAAAAGAAACUCUAAGUUGAAGAAAACAUACUCCCUCUUGAGUUGCCCCAGUCAAUCUUUUAAUUCCAAACUUUCAGUACUGGGACAGGUCUUCCUAGACAACACCUGAUUCUGUUUUUACUAUCAGUUUAAAUUAUUGAACUUGAUUCAGACUCUGGGAAUUUAUAGUUUCAUAAUGGAAAAAGUCAUGCCUCGUGAAUUCUGUUAUGAAGUAAAACAGCCUCUCAUUAGUCUACUAUUAACAGGUUCAUAAAAUGUGAUUCAGAUGAUCAGCUGUUAAUGCUGCAGAAAAAAUGAUUGACUUCGUUCAAGCCUGCUGAAAGGAGCCUCACAAUGAAGGACAUCUGUGGGAAGAGAUGGUGGGUCUAUUUUGGCAUAUUCCAGCUGGAGGGAGAGCUCCAGUCAAACAAUGUGGUGAGCACUUGGUUGUGUUAAUAGAACGUGGAGGAGUUUUGUCAGGAAUCCAAAAUGAGAUGUGUGUGAAACACACAUGGAUAUUGGCAAUUUUGGAUGGUUUCCAAAUGAGGCAGAUCAGAACUCAAAAGGUCCCACCUACAGUACAUACUUGUGAUAUCUGUCAAAGGCUUGAAGCAAAUAGCGGAGUUGGUAGAGCUGUGAAAGUUAGCACAGAAACCAAAUUUAGCAUUUGUUGCUGGAAACACCUUUGUAAUUAUUUUCUUUUCUCCAGUGUAAGCAGCAUAAAAGAAAGAAAGACCACACAAUUUGAGGCCAGAUUUUUUCUUUUUUCUUUUUUCUUUUUCUUUUUUUUCUUUUUUUUUUUUCUUUUUUUUUUUUUUUUUUUUUUGAAUAUUUCAAAGGUAAUUGUUUAGACUUGAUGUGGCUUGGAGAGGCUAUAGAUGUGGCUAGAUUGAUGAAAGGUCAAAUGAGGAUCUUGGGAACGACUAUUUUAGUAGAACUGCUCAAGGAGAGGAUAAAGGAAAAUGAGUAACUCCUUCACAUGAAUUCGUGGCGAAAACGUACCUAUACGGGGAAAAAAAAUUGGGAGAGGAAGGGAGCAGCAGGAAAGUGGACUGAGAGCCGCCUUUUGCAUCUGUGAGGCAAUGUGAAUGUAUUAAGUGAAGAUUGCCAUGUUUGCCUUUCUUCAGAUGCAGUGUUUAAUCUGAACAGCAAGUCAUCCAUUAGCAGAUCCUGAUUUUUACAAAGAAGGGCUCAACAGCAGGCUCCACAUUAUUCAUGGUGGAGAGUAGUGAUAUAAGAUGUGACACUGUGAAACUUCUAAAUACAUCUUCUGGAUCCCAUCACCUGACAUGUGAGGGAUACAGAUGGUUAGGCAGUGCUUCUAAGUGACAUGUUAAUCUCUAGUAUCUCUCAUAGUUUCUAUCAUUCUUAGUUCAUAUUCUAUUUGUCUUUACUGUACAAAGGUCUGCAUUUAGAUCUGUUGUGAUUUUGUUAUUCAGGCCUUUUGCUGCAUUAGUUGCUGUCUUGCCAUAAACUGCAGCUGAGCUGCUCUGUCAGACAGGUGACAGCAGUUCUAAAUGUCUAGGUGAGGCUGUAGCAAGUACGGGAGAAGGACAGCCACCCAUGAUAGUUCUUAGUCCGUAGGGGGCCAUCAUCGCCUCGCAGCUCACUUGGAGCUGCCAACAGUGUGCUCAAGAACUCCUCCCCAAGGACGUGUGUCAUCUUUGCCCUCACAGCAGACUUCCUGCUUCCUUUGCCUUGGGUUCUUUAACCCUGUGGGAGUAUUUGUGAUGUCUUGCUGUGGUGUGGAGAAUGUGACCUACCAAAGUAGGUGCUAUAAAUCCAGCCUAUUCUCUUUUUUCCACGGGAAGGAACAGUUUUGUCAUGAAAGCCUAUCCUGUGGUCUAGCCUCUUCGCAAAUUCAUGAAUUUUGUUUUCAUGGUUCAUUCUGUUUGACUCAAGAAGCUUUUUGGAUGCUAUGAAUUUUAGUUUUGCCCACAAGUUUCUGAACUGCUCACCUCAACCAGCAGUAAUAAAGCCCAGGUCAGUAUUUUAAAGGAAAUAAACAUAUUAUUUUAAUGUGA